GGGUUGUGAGGUUAAGCGACUAAGCGUACACGGUGGAUGCCCUGGCAGUCAGAGGCGAUGAAGGACGUGCUAAUCUGCGAUAAGCGCCGGUAAGGUGAUAUGAACCGUUAUAACCGGCGAUUUCCGAAUGGGGAAACCCAGUGUGACUCGUCACACUAUCAUUAACUGAAUCCAUAGGUUAAUGAGGCGAACCGGGGGAACUGAAACAUCUAAGUACCCCGAGGAAAAGAAAUCAACCGAGAUUCCCCCAGUAGCGGCGAGCGAACGGGGAGGAGCCCAGAGCCUGAAUCAGCAUGUGUGUUAGUGGAAGCGUCUGGAAAGGCGCGCGAUACAGGGUGACAGCCCCGUACACAAAAGCGCAUGUGCUGUGAGCUCGAUGAGUAGGGCGGGACACGUGGUAUCCUGUCUGAAUAUGGGGGGACCAUCCUCCAAGGCUAAAUACUCCUGACUGACCGAUAGUGAACCAGUACCGUGAGGGAAAGGCGAAAAGAACCCCGGCGAGGGGAGUGAAAAAGAACCUGAAACCGUGUACGUACAAGCAGUGGGAGCCCCACCACUAAGCCAGUGGUGAACUCCACAUACGCAUCCUUUGCUGAGGAUACGGUUAACGGAGCGAAAGCGACGUUCAACCGCAAAAGAAGCAGAGGGGGCUUAGUGGUGGGGUGACUGCGUACCUUUUGUAUAAUGGGUCAGCGACUUAUAUUCUGUAGCAAGGUUAACCGUAUAGGGGAGCCGCAGGGAAACCGAGUCUUAACCGGGCGUUAAGUUGCAGGGUAUAGACCCGAAACCCGGUGAUCUAGCCAUGGGCAGGUUGAAGGUUGGGUAACACUAACUGGAGGACCGAACCGACUAAUGUUGAAAAAUUAGCGGAUGACCUGUGGCUGGGGGUGAAAGGCCAAUCAAACCGGGAGAUAGCUGGUUCUCCCCGAAAGCUAUUUAGGUAGCGCCUCGUGAACUCAUCUCCGGGGGUAGAGCACUGUUUCGGCUAGGGGGCCAUCCCGGCUUACCAACCCGAUGCAAACUGCGAAUACCGGAGAAUGUUAUCACGGGAGACACACGGCGGGUGCUAACGUCCGUCGUGAAGAGGGAAACAACCCAGACCGCCAGCUAAGGUCCCAAAGUCAUGGUUAAGUGGGAAACGAUGUGGGAAGGCCCAGACAGCCAGGAUGUUGGCUUAGAAGCAGCCAUCAUUUAAAGAAAGCGUAAUAGCUCACUGGUCGAGUCGGCCUGCGCGGAAGAUGUAACGGGGCUAAACCAUGCACCGAAGCUGCGGCAGCGACACUAUGUGUUGUUGGGUAGGGGAGCGUUCUGUAAGCCUGUGAAGGUGGCCUGUGAGGGUUGCUGGAGGUAUCAGAAGUGCGAAUGCUGACAUAAGUAACGAUAAAGCGGGUGAAAAGCCCGCUCGCCGGAAGACCAAGGGUUCCUGUCCAACGUUAAUCGGGGCAGGGUGAGUCGACCCCUAAGGCGAGGCCGAAAGGCGUAGUCGAUGGGAAACGGGUUAAUAUUCCCGUACUUGGUGUUACUGCGAAGGGGGGACGGAGAAGGCUAUGUUGGCCGGGCGACGGUUGUCCCGGUUUAAGCGUGUAGGUGUGUGUUCCAGGUAAAUCCGGUUCACUUUAACACUGAGGCGUGAUGACGAGGCACUACGGUGCUGAAGCAACAAAUGCCCUGCUUCCAGGAAAAGCCUCUAAGCAUCAGGUAACAUCAAAUCGUACCCCAAACCGACACAGGUGGUCAGGUAGAGAAUACCAAGGCGCUUGAGAGAACUCGGGUGAAGGAACUAGGCAAAAUGGUGCCGUAACUUCGGGAGAAGGCACGCUGACAUGUAGGUGAAGUGAUUUACUCAUGGAGCUGAAGUCAGUCGAAGAUACCAGCUGGCUGCAACUGUUUAUUAAAAACACAGCACUGUGCAAACACGAAAGUGGACGUAUACGGUGUGACGCCUGCCCGGUGCCGGAAGGUUAAUUGAUGGGGUCAGCGCAAGCGAAGCUCCUGAUCGAAGCCCCGGUAAACGGCGGCCGUAACUAUAACGGUCCUAAGGUAGCGAAAUUCCUUGUCGGGUAAGUUCCGACCUGCACGAAUGGCGUAAUGAUGGCCAGGCUGUCUCCACCCGAGACUCAGUGAAAUUGAACUCGCUGUGAAGAUGCAGUGUACCCGCGGCAAGACGGAAAGACCCCGUGAACCUUUACUAUAGCUUGACACUGAACAUUGAGCCUUGAUGUGUAGGAUAGGUGGGAGGCUUUGAAGUGUGGACGCCAGUCUGCAUGGAGCCGACCUUGAAAUACCACCCUUUAAUGUUUGAUGUUCUAACGUGGACCCGUAAUCCGGGUUGCGGACAGUGUCUGGUGGGUAGUUUGACUGGGGCGGUCUCCUCCUAAAGAGUAACGGAGGAGCACGAAGGUUGGCUAAUCCUGGUCGGACAUCAGGAGGUUAGUGCAAUGGCAUAAGCCAGCUUGACUGCGAGCGUGACGGCGCGAGCAGGUGCGAAAGCAGGUCAUAGUGAUCCGGUGGUUCUGAAUGGAAGGGCCAUCGCUCAACGGAUAAAAGGUACUCCGGGGAUAACAGGCUGAUACCGCCCAAGAGUUCAUAUCGACGGCGGUGUUUGGCACCUCGAUGUCGGCUCAUCACAUCCUGGGGCUGAAGUAGGUCCCAAGGGUAUGGCUGUUCGCCAUUUAAAGUGGUACGCGAGCUGGGUUUAGAACGUCGUGAGACAGUUCGGUCCCUAUCUGCCGUGGGCGCUGGAGAACUGAGGGGGGCUGCUCCUAGUACGAGAGGACCGGAGUGGACGCAUCACUGGUGUUCGGGUUGUCAUGCCAAUGGCACUGCCCGGUAGCUAAAUGCGGAAGAGAUAAGUGCUGAAAGCAUCUAAGCACGAAACUUGCCCCGA
rnacentral:rRNA from 1 species